UACGGAGGGGGCUAGCGUUGUUCGGAAUUACUGGGCGUAAAGCGCACGUAGGCGGCUUUGUAAGUUAGAGGUGAAAGCCCGGGGCUCAACUCCGGAAUUGCCUUUAAGACUGCAUCGCUAGAAUUGUGGAGAGGUAAGUGGAAUUCCGAGUGUAGAGGUGAAAUUCGUAGAUAUCUGGAGGAACACCGGUGGCGAAGGCGGCGUCCUGGACCAACACUGACACUGAGGAGCGAAAGCGUGGGGAGCGAACAGG
rnacentral:rRNA from 1 species